rnacentral:misc_RNA from 1 species
AGUAAAAACUAUCAUAUUGAUCUUAAAAUUCUAUUCAGUUUUUGAGCCUUUAAAUUUUUAUUUUCUGGAGUUCCUGAUUAGAUUUUAAAUCAAAUGAUAUUGUUUUUAAUUAUUCGUGCUCAAAUUCAAACCAAAUUUUAUUUUAAUAUUAUAAUACAAUAAAACUAUUUUUUAUUACUCUUGAUUUAAUAACCAAGAAACAAA